AGUCAGCGUCCCGCAUGUCAUUCCGCGCCGCCGGACCAUGAAUUUGUCAAAAUUUUCGCCUCACGUCAUCCGCUCAUCAAAAUUCCCGUAUCGUUCAAAUGAAUUUAUCUAAAUCCGGCCCUGAAAACAGCACGAAAUGCACCGAGAACGUAACUAACGUUGAGAAGGAGGAAGAUUUGAAAUCGUUGGAGAAGUCGCGAACGUAUCCUGAGGUCCAGAAUCACGGGAUCGGGUAUUACUCGACCAUUCUGAAGACCAGUGAUGAGAAAAUAGAGAACGUGGAUAAACCUACGGGUGUGCGAUCGGAUGUUGAAGUGCUUUAUUUGUAUAAAGAACAAGGAAUCGGAACUGAAUCGGAAGAACUUAUAGAAACAGGGACUAUAGCACUGCAGACGAGGUUUUUGGGAGCUUCCAGCAACAACAGCAUAUUCAGAACAUUAUUUUGCUGUAUAAGGAGGAAUCAAGAUUAAAUAAAAAAAUCAGCUCAUCAGCAACAUAAUCAGUAACAAAUAAUUUUAAACCUGAAACAACCUCACAAGUUUAAAUAGAAUCAUAAUUAUUAUAAAGAUGGAGUUUUUAAUGAAGAUUGAAAAUAAGUUCUUUAAGGAAAAAUGAAAACGUACAUAACUUUUAAUCAUUAAUCUCAGGCAUGAAACAAUUAGAAAAACUAAUGAAACCAAGGAUGUAUGGUACUUUGAAAAUCUACAUGUCUGACUUUGACCAAGUUUCGAAAUGAAUAAUAAUUGAUAUCAAAUGAAAAUUAAAGGCAAAGUCAUCAGGAAAACUAAAGAACAAAGUAACAAAUAAAAAGAAGAUUUAAGAAGAUGAAAUAUAAGCAUACGUUAAAGGAAUAAAACUAUUCAGAAAUGAAAAUAUCAACAUGAUUAAUACCAAAUACAUACAAAGUCAUCAAUGUAACUAAUGGAAUAGAGUUCAUUAGCUGGCUAGUUCAAAAAAGUUGGUGUAAGUGGGAAAACUAACGGAUAUCAAAACUAUGGAUUUAUAGUCAAAUUUUAAGAAAACUCUAGCAUGAACAUAUUUGGAACUAUAAUUUCCUGGUACAGGAAAAUCACAAUUGAUACUCAAACAAGAUAUUUCAUAAUCUCAAAAAAUAUUCGAAACUACCAUCAGAUAUUUGUACUUUUAAAUGACUUUAAUAAUUAUAUUUAAGAACAUGGAAAUAUAUAUUUGUUAAACAA